rnacentral:tRNA from 1 species
GCCUGGGUGGCUCAGUCAGUUGAGCAUCCGACUUCGGCUCGGGUCAUGAUCUCGCGGUCCGUGAGUUCGAGCCCCGCGUCAGGCU